rnacentral:miRNA from 1 species
UAAUGAUAGUGGUGGUGAUGGUGGUAGUGGUAAUGAUGAUGAUGAUGAUGAUCGUCGUCAACAAUAUCGUCAUUAUCGUCAUCACUCAUCCUAU